CCGAGUUCUAAACUCAGCAACCCAUUGUGAACGAUAGCUUUGUUGCUUCGGCUGGUUCACGGCUCCGGCCGCGCACGGCCGAAGGCCCUUAAACUCUUGUUUCCUAGUGACUACUCUGAGUAAAUCUGGAAAUAAAUCA
rnacentral:misc_RNA from 1 species